rnacentral:rRNA from 1 species
GGUGGAGCAAAACUCAAAAACUUAGUCUCAGUUCGGAUUGUAGGCUGAAACUCGCCUACAUGAAGCUGGAGUUGCUAGUAAUCGCGAAUCAGCAUGUCGCGGUGAAUACGUUCCCGGGCCUUGUACACACCGCCCGUCACACCAUGAGAGUUGGCAAUACCCAACGUACGUGAUCUAACCCGCAAGGGAGGAAGCGUCCUAAGGUAGGGUCAGCGAUUGGGGUGAAGUCGUAACAAGGUAGC